AGGGAAAGUUGAAAAGAACUUUGAAGAGAGAGUUCAAAAGGGCGUGAAACCGCUUAGAAUAAAACGGACGGAGCCGUCAGUGGCCCUCUGGAAUCAGUCGUAUGACGCGCGACAAUGCACCCUGCCAGAGCGAAAGUCUGGUGGGUGUAUUGGGAAAUAGUAGCGCUCAUUCGAUGCAUUUCCGGAGGGUAUGCGCCACGACCGAUGCGAAAGGCUAGUGAAUCCGGCGAAUUGAGGUGGAAACCCUCCGGGGUAUUCAGUACCAGUUCGUUGGCCUAUAGUCGCUAGACCGCAGUAGGCAUCGAGCGCGGAAUAAAUCGAACACUGGCAAAAAUGCUCGUUUAAGCGAUGGAUAGUCGGCGGAAUAUUCAGUACCUGCUCGCAGGUUAUGUUUAUUCCCGUUCGGCGUUUGAAGUCGCGGUCGAGUUAAUAGUGUUCGGGCGUCAGUGGCGUCCGAGACGGUCAACCGUCCGACCCGUCUUGAAACACGGACCAAGGAGUCUAACGUACGGCGAGCUAAUGAGUGGAAAACUCAUAAGCGCAAUAAAAGUGAAAGCCGUUUCGGACGGCGCUGGGUACGAUCCUGGGUGUAUUUAUUUACCCCUGGCGCAGUACCAUCCCAUCCUGAUCGCUUGUCGAUAGGGUGGAGAUUGAGUGCAUACGUUGGGACCCGAAAGAUGGUGAACUAUGCCUGAGCAGAGCGAAGCCAGAGGAAACUCUGGUGGAGGUUCGUAGCGGUUCUGACGUGCAAAUCGAUCGUCAGACUUGGGUAUAGGGGCGAAA
rnacentral:rRNA from 1 species